AUAUUCUCAAGAGAGACUCUUAUGAGUGUAGUAUCGCGUAACAAUCGCAUCAGAACUUACAUCUGAACGACCUCCGCACUACGUCCUAAAAAAUAGGCCAAGAUGGGUUUGGUAAACUAAGGUCCUUGGCUUCUGCGGCACAUGAUUGAAAGAAUAAUGCCUAACCACAAAUAACUUGUGUGACAUUAUUAAUCCAACAUGACCUCCACCAAGUGAAUGGACUCGCAAGUCAACUUGCUAAGGAAUAACUCCACAC
rnacentral:lncRNA from 1 species